CAAACAGGGAAAUGGUAUAUUGAAAAAAAAGUAACCUUGUCCAAGAGAGAUUUUACACGAUUAUCAAGACGUCACACCAGGUAUACAUUCAUUGAUACACAGCAGUGGGGCUGAGGAGGCAUCACUUUGAUUUGUGCAUAGCUGCAGUAUUCCGAACCCGGUGCCUGAGGACAGCGUGAGCCGCGCAAUAGAUCCAAAUAAUGUGCGGAGUGUGGGCCACAUGGGAAUCCAGCCAUACCGCCUGCGCCUGGCCCCAGCACUGCCUGGCUCUCCUCUCUGUGAAUAUAAGUCAAUGGGGCUGGAGAUUGCGCAUGUUUUCAGACCAACCAUAAUAUAAAAACAUUGCCCCAUUCCCUUGAUUCCUGUACGGCCACAUUCCAAUGCUCAGAAUUUCUUAAUGCCCUCAUUUCAACUUCAAGAUUGGAGUUAAACCAUCUAUUAAUUCAGAUAGCAUUUCCAUACAUAUGUGGAAUGUGCUUUCAACAAAAGAGGAAGUGACAACGUGACUUUUCGCCCAUUGACUUAAAUCCUCCAUUGUUCUCAUGGGCUUUGUCUAGAAGUAUGUGUACAGUACUGUAUGCUUCAGCAAUGCAGAAAUCAAGACCAGUUAACUUUUGAGGAUAUUGACUCACAGAGGUGUUAGCUGUAGCUUUUGGCCUUUUGUUAAGAAUGUACCGUGCCAGAAGAAUAGCCCUGAUGUUGAUUGCUGGAGAUUACGACAUACCUGAUCAACACAAUAGGUACUCUAAUCUCCCUAGUGGGUGUUUUAAUGAUUAACUUUAGUUCUAAAUGAAAAUAAAUUGAUGUUUUUGAGUCUUAGGAGUGAGAGUUAAAAGUAUGUGUACAGCAAUGGGGACUUGGAUGAGUUAGAAGUUAGUGUAACUGACAGUUAGAAUGACAGGUUAUGUCGUUGUCUUUUGUUUGAAUUGUUUACGUGUCCGCUGUGCGGGGGAAAUGAUAAUACAAGCGGAACUACGUAGCUAAUACUGUUGUAACUGGGAUACUUAUUGUAGCAACACACUUUUGGAGGGAAGGCAAUCCUGCGGUACGUUAGCUAAGUUUUCAUGUCAUCGGGUGUAGUUCAUAAAGGUUGAAGAGUGUAUGUUAGGAUGAAGUGUGAAUUCAUGCCAGGAAUAAUAAGUGUGAAGUUUGAUUUCCUCCCUUCUGUAAUAAGCAGCCAAUGAGGCAUUUUUUUCCUUUAUUCAUGUGUUUAAUCUGAACCCGCUAUAACGCCGGUUAAACUGUUAUGUAUGUAAACACUUCAGAGUUAUACCAAGCUAAUAAGUCACUCGUAAGAUAAGGUUGUAAUAGUGUGCUUAACUGUAUUUUUCAUUUACUUUAUAGUUCUCACGGAAGGUGAUAAUUUGGACUAAAACUACAGAAUGAAGCCACCAGUUAAAAUCAAGGAACGGUUGUGCUUGUGGUUACUGAAGGGCGCUAUAGUUAGAUAAGGUCUUGUUAAGGUGAAUUGAUGGUUAAAAUCUACAUCCUGUUAUGGUUUCUCGAAGGGGAAGAAUUUGACAUGGCUAUCUCUGUGAUG